rnacentral:rRNA from 1 species
GAUGAACGCUGGCGGCGUGCCUAAUACAUGCAAGUCGAGCGAACAGAUGAGGAGCUUGCUCCUCUGACGUUAGCGGCGGACGGGUGAGUAACACGUGGAUAACCUACCUAUAAGACUGGGAUAACUUCGGGAAACCGGAGCUAAUACCGGAUAAUAUAUUGAACCGCAUGGUUCAAUAGUGAAAGCCGGUUUUGCUGUCACUUAUAGAUGGAUCCGCGCCGCAUUAGCUAGUUGGUAAGGUAACGGCUUACCAAGGCAACGAUGCGUAGCCGACCUGAGAGGGUGAUCGGCCACACUGGAACUGAGACACGGUCCAGACUCCUACGGGAGGCAGCAGUAGGGAAUCUUCCGCAAUGGGCGAAAGCCUGACGGAGCAACGCCGCGUGAGUGAUGAAGGUCUUCGGAUCGUAAAACUCUGUUAUUAGGGAAGAACAAAUGUGUAAGUAACUAUGCACGUCUUGACGGUACCUAAUCAGAAAGCCACGGCUAACUACGUG